UACGAAGGGGACUAGCGUUGUUCGGAAUCACUGGGCGUAAAGCGCACGUAGGCGGAUGUGUCAGUCAGGGGUGAAAUCCCGGGGCUCAACUUCGGAACUGCCUUUGAUACAGCACGUCUUGAGUCCGGAAGAGGUGGGUGGAAUUCCUAGUGUAGAGGUGAAAUUCGUAGAUAUUAGGAAGAACACCGGUGGCGAAGGCGGCCCACUGGUCCGGUACUGACGCUGAGGUGCGAAAGCGUGGGGAGCAAACAGG
rnacentral:rRNA from 1 species